rnacentral:tRNA from 1 species
UUAAAUAAAGCUUUAUUUUAAGCAUUUGGCUGUUAACCAAAAGUUAAGAAUUAUAUUUCUUUAUUUAAA